rnacentral:snRNA from 2 species
CUCAGAGAAGAUUAGCAUGGUCCCUGAGCAAGGACGACACAAAAAUUUGUGAAGCAUUCCAUAUUAAA